rnacentral:lncRNA from 1 species
AGCUAGUUUAUUCGUGUGAUUGUUUCUGUAUGUGUUUAUGUGUGUUUGUGUUUGUAGUAGGGCCAGAGUGUUAGAAUUAAUCUUGAGUUUGAGUUCUACUUGGAUUAGGUGAGUUUGUGAGUUUUAAUCAGGUUAGUUUCUUUGUUAAGCUAGCCUGCGUGUUGGAGUCCUUGUGUUAUUAGGAUUGGAGUUACCCACGUGUGAGUACUAGUCCGUGUAUGUUUAGGUGUUGGCCGUGUAUAUAUAUGCGGGCAUAGCCGUAGGUUGUAACAAGGUCGUGGGAUUUGAGAAAGAAAUAAAGAGAAAAUAGAAGGUACGAUACGCGU